UUAAGGCUGUGCUGUGAUGGUGAGAAGACACUGUGUCUCCGAGUUGUUGAUUUCACCCUGCCGAGAAAAGCCUCUAGAUGGUCAAUAGGUGCCUGUACCGCAAACCGACACAGGUAGUCAAGAUGAGAAUGAUAAGGUGAGCGAGCGAACGAUCGCAAAGGAACUCGGCAAAAUGACCCCGUAACUUCGGGCGAAGGGGUGCUCUUUAGGGUUAACGCCCAGAAGAGCCGCAGAGAAGAGGCCCAAGCGAAUGUUUAUCAAAAACACAGCUCUCUUCCAACCCGUAAGGUGAUGUCUAGGGGCUGACGCCGCCCCGGUGCUGGCACGUCAAGAGGAGUGGUUAGCUACUGCGACGCUGCGAAUCUAAGCUCCAGUAAACGGGGGCCGUCACCAUAACGAUCCUAAGGUAGGCAAUUUCCUUGUCGGGUAAGCACUGACUCGCAGGAACUGCGUAACGAUAUGGGC
rnacentral:rRNA from 1 species